ACGGAGGGUGCAAGCGUUAAUCGGAAUCACUGGGCGUAAAGCGCACGUAGGCUGUCGUGUAAGUCAGGGGUGAAAGCCCACGGCUCAACCGUGGAAUUGCCCUUGAUACUGCAUGACUGGAAUCCGGGAGAGGGUAGUGGAAUUCCAGGUGUAGGAGUGAAAUCCGUAGAUAUCUGGAGGAACAUCAGUGGCGAAGGCGACUACCUGGACCGGUAUUGACGCUGAGGUGCGAAAGCGUGGGGAGCAAACAGG
rnacentral:rRNA from 1 species